UCGUAACAAGGUCUCCGUUGGUGAACCAGCGGAGGGAUCAUUACAGAGUUGCAAAACUCCCUAAACCAUUGUGAACGUUACCUAUACCGUUGCUUCGGCGGGCGGCCCCGGGGUUUACCCCCCGGGCGCCCCUGGGCCCCACCGCGGGCGCCCGCCGGAGGUCACCAAACUCUUGAUAAUUUAUGGCCUCUCUGAGUCUUCUGUACUGAAUAAGUCAAAACUUUCAACAACGGAUCUCUUGGUUCUGGCAUCGAUGAAGAACGCAGCGAAAUGCGAUAAGUAAUGUGAAUUGCAGAAUUCAGUGAAUCAUCGAAUCUUUGAACGCACAUUGCGCCCGCCAGCAUUCUGGCGGGCAUGCCUGUUCGAGCGUCAUUUCAACCAUCAAGCCCCCGGGCUUGUGUUGGGGACCUGCGGCUGCCGCAGGCCCUGAAAAGCAGUGGCGGGCUCGCUGUCGCACCGAGCGUAGUAGCAUACAUCUCGCUCUGGUCGCGCCGCGGGUUCCGGCCGUUAAACCACCUUUUAACCCAAGGUUGACCUCGGAUCAGGUAGGAAGACCCGCUGAACUUAAGCAUAUCAAUAAGCGGAGGA
rnacentral:misc_RNA from 1 species